ensembl:lncRNA
UGGGGUUAUUCCGUGGCUCCCGUUGGAAAUCCCUGUCUGCAGACCAGAGCAACCGAUAGCGUUGCUGCCGGCAGUGCAGCGCUGGUGCAGCGUCCUGGCUCCGCGCAGCCUCUCUGGAAAGUAUUAAAAGUUGGAGGCACAUGUUUCGCAGGCCAAACGCAGGCCCUUUCCCAUAGAAGGGAAAACUCCCACUGAAGCGUGACCGCUGUGCUUGGCCGUGGCCGCUCCGCCACRACGGCCUGGUCCUCCUGCCUCCGGCCAGCUCGCGUGUGCCGGACACAGCUGGCGACCGCCGGGCUUGGCUGCUGCGGCCACGCAAGGUGGGAUUUUCAACAACUGCAGCGUUUAGCAGUGGAAAAAGCAACUUCUUGAAAAUGAGUGGAGAAGGAUGUUAUUUGCAUCAGCAGUGGUAGCCAAAAAAAAAGAAAAAGAAAAAGAAAAAGAAAAUGCAGGCUCCAUGGCUGUUGCUGCUACUUCUCCCUGGUCUGGGGUUGCUAACUUAAAUCGUGCUGAAGCAGGUGUUUGGAUACAGGGAAAGCAAAGGAUGCCGUAGCCUCCUGCCUGCCCCGGGAGCACCGGUGUCAGAGAGCUGGGAAUUCGGACCGGUCCCGGGCGACUGACAYGGCUUGCAGCCACCGAAGCCGGUUUCUGAUGCUUCCCUGAGGCUGAGUCUUUCCCGGCUGCACACGAGGGCCGUGGCACCRCGAGUGCCUCCGCAAACCGCCGGGCAACGGCUCUGGGCAGCACCGAGCAGGGGCAAAGCAAUGCUCCCAGGCGCGAGCUGAGCGUGCCCUGCUCUGCCCCGGCACGGCCGAGCCCCGUCCGACUGUUUGUUUUCCCCUUUAUUUUCCAGGUGGGAAGCRGCUCAGUCAGCUCAGGCAUCAUCUCUGCACCCUGAGCAGGGCGAGCGGCGCUCCGGCUGGGAGGGGAGGGAGGAGGAGGAGGGCAGCCAGCGCGGCGGCUCGAGCAUCCCCCUCGCUGCCCCCCCUGCCGCAGGAGCCGGGUUGCCCCGGGGAGCCCAGCAGCCUCUGCCCCAGCGGCUCCUCGCCCACCAUGCUGGAUAUUUUCAUCCUGAUGUUCUUCGCCAUCAUCGGCCUGGUGAUUCUCUCCUACAUCAUCUACAUGCUGUAGCGCGAUGCUGGGGAGGACGCGGCUCCGCAGCGGCCCGUCACUCCGGGCAUCGUCCAGCAGCAGCCGCCGCCUGGUCCGUCUCUCCUGGAGCCUUCUGGAAAAGCGUUAACCCGUUGGAGCCGACGUCUCUCCCAGCCGGAGACUGGGGACACCCAGGACGAGCAGCUCCGGGCGGGCGCCAGUGCCAGGCGCGAUGCGCUGGUGGCGGGGGCUGAGCCGGGGCGGCGGCGGGGUGACGGGGCCGGGAAAGCGCUGGGCAGCGACGUCCCGCGGCCGAGCUGCUCCCCAGGACGCGCAGGCUGCUCCACCGGGGACGUAGCGGGUCCUGCCCCAGCCACGUGCGYUAGCCCCUUGGGAUAAGCACUUCCGAGGUUGCGUUGUUUGGUUUUAACUUUAGAAAGCACUUAUAUUUUUAAUGCAAACUGUCCGAGGAAAGGGAAUAAAAAGAGGGAUGACACCA